UGGGGAAUAUUGGACAAUGGGCGAAAGCCUGAUCCAGCCAUGCCGCGUGUGUGAAGAAGGUCUUCGGAUUGUAAAGCACUUUAAGUUGGGAGGAAGGGCCAUUACCUAAUACGUGAUGGUUUUGACGUUACCGACAGAAUAAGCACCGGCUAACUCUGUGCCAGCAGCCGCGGUAAUACAGAGGGUGCAAGCGUUAAUCGGAAUUACUGGGCGUAAAGCGCGCGUAGGUGGUUCGUUAAGUUGGAUGUGAAAGCCCCGGGCUCAACCUGGGAACUGCAUUCAAAACUGUCGAGCUAGAGUAUGGUAGAGGGUGGUGGAAUUUCCUGUGUAGCGGUGAAAUGCGUAGAUAUAGGAAGGAACACCAGUGGCGAAGGCGACCACCUGGACUGAUACUGACACUGAGGUGCGAAAGCGUGGGGAGCAAACA
rnacentral:rRNA from 1 species